rnacentral:rRNA from 1 species
CCUACGGGGAGCAGCAGUGAGGAAUAUUGGUCAAUGGCCGUAAGGCUGAACCAGCCAAGUCGCGUGAAGGAAGAAGGAUCUAUGGUUUGUAAACUUCUUUUAUAGGGGAAUAAAGGUAUCCACGUGUGGAUAUUUGCAUGUACCCUAUGAAUAAGCAUCGGCUAACUCAGUGCCAGCAGCCGCGGUAAUACGGAGGAUGCGAGCGUUAUCCGGAUUUAUUGGGUUUAAAGGGUGCGUAGGUUGUUUUUUAAGUCAGCGGGGAAAGUUUGUGGCUCAACCAUAAAAUUGCCGUUGAAACUGGAAGACUUGAGUGUGUUUGAGGUAGGCGGAAUGCGUGGUGUAGCGGUGAAAUGCAUAGAUAUCACGCAGAACUCCGAUUGCGAAGGCAGCUUACUAAGCCAUAACUGACACUGAGGCACGAAAGCGUGGGGAUCAAACAGGAUUAGAUACCCGUGUAGUC